AUUCCAGCUCCAAUAGCGUAUAUUAAAGUUGUUGCAGUUAAAACGCUCGUAGUCGGAUUUCGGGGCGGGCCGACCGGUCUGCCGAUGGGUAUGCACUGGCCGGCGCGUCCUUCCACCCGGAGACCGCGCCUACUCUUAACUGAGCGGGCGCGGGAGACGGGUCUUUUACUUUGAAAAAAUCAGAGUGUUUCAAGCAGGCAGUCGCUCUUGCAUGGAUUAGCAUGGGAUAAUGAAAUAGGACUCUGGUGCUAUUUUGUUGGUUUCAGAAUUUUAGGUAAUGAUUAAUAGGGACAAUUGGGGGCAUUCGUAUUGUCACGUCAGAGGUGAAAUUCUUAGAUUGUGAUACGACGAACUAAUGCGAAAGCAUUUGUCAAGGAUGUUUUCAUUA
rnacentral:rRNA from 1 species